GCGCUCUUAGCUCAGCUGGAUAGAGCAACAGACUUCUAAUCUGUAGGUCAGAGGUUCGAAUCCUCUAGAGCGCGCCA
rnacentral:tRNA from 3 species